rnacentral:rRNA from 1 species
UACGGAGGGUGCAAGCGUUAUCCGGAUUCACUGGGUUUAAAGGGUGCGUAGGUGGGUCUGUAAGUCAGUGGUGAAAUCUCCGAGCUUAACUCGGAAACUGCCAUUGAUACUAUAGGUCUUGAAUUAUCUGGAGGUAAGCGGAAUAUGUCAUGUAGCGGUGAAAUGCUUAGAUAUGACAUAGAACACCAAUUGCGAAGGCAGCUUACUACGGAUAUAUUGACACUGAGGCACGAAAGCGUGGGGAGCGAACAGG